ensembl:lncRNA
CCCAAAUCCAGGCUUAAACAAAGAUUAAAAAAAAAUACUUGAAAUUCUGAAAUCUUGGCUGCAUUAAACCUUUAAAAUGCUGGAUUAUGCAUUUUCCAUUUCCAAGUUUGGCUCUGACACCACAUCUUGUGUUCCAUUGGUGUGAUUCAUCUGUAGAUACCAGAACUGCAUAAUUCACCACAGAUCUUUACUACAGAUAUAAUUACACUAAAUCCUUUGGCCUGAGCAGCGUGAAGCCUUCUCUAAGAGUUUCUUCGGAGCUGCAGGGACACCUACGCUCAGGAGUGCCUGUUCUGGGAUGUGGCACCACGCCAGGCUUCAGCAGUGGGAAUUCUGGAGGAGGCCAGCGCCAUUGAAGAUGAGCUCGGUGCCCACCUUUGGCACAGCAGUUUUAAGAGUGGUGAUAUCCAAGGAGAGGACCAGCAGAGCAGACAGCUGGAGCUCUCCCACGCAACUUCCCUGGCACAGACCGAGCACAGAGGAUCUCCCUCCUCUGCUGCUGCUCCUGUCACACAGCUGGGCUUCAAAAGAGGAUGCUCCUCUCCCACGUGCUUCAAAGAGAAUCCAGGAGCCACAGAACAAUUUACUCCCACUCACAGGGCGAAGGGAAAUCCUCUUCUAACAGGGGAUCAUCCUGUUACAACGAGGAUGUCUGGUGAUUUAUGACAUGCUGCUUUAAACCCUCCUUCCCCUCCAAAGAAACACAGGAGACAGCAGAGCUGGAGGGAGAUAGGAGAGAGAGCUGACAUUGGCAAUGCUUGAAAUAUGGUGUAAGAGCUGGGAAAACCCUUUCUUGCUGUCCUCAUUAGCAUGACUUAACUAAUAGUUAUAAUCUUAUCAAGCAGAGGUUGCCAUGCAGGAGGAUGUGCAGGCUGGAAAUCAAAGCUUUAAUAAAUAGAUAUUUUAAGACCAAAAAGCAUCACUGUAGUUUUGUCUGGCUUCCUGUGUAAUUGAUGCAAAAAACAGACCUUUUCAACAGAAAAAAAAAAAAAAUAGUGGAUUUAAUAGGAAGGUAUUAGUAUUGUUAUAUUUUUGGGUAAUAAUUUUAACAAUCAAAAUUUGAGUGGUUUAUUUUGCAAAAUCCAACGUAUAUGUACUUGAUUGCCUUUCAUUUUCAUUUUCUGCUCUGUAAAUCCCAAAGAUUGUAUGCUCUGUAGGGCUUAUGCAUCCAUUUUCUUAAUCUUUUAUUCUGGCAUUGAAUCCAAAUAUAAAAAGAAUAUUCUCAACCUGGGAUGAAGAAAAUUUUCCUUUUUUGAUGCCAAAAAGGUAACUUAAUCUUGCAAUUUACAUUAAAUACUGCCAAAAAUUAAUAUCUGUGCCAUCAGUUCUGUUAUUGUCUCUGACAUUUUUAUAGUUCUCCCUUCCCAUUUCCUUUGUGUUAGCUUUGGCCUGGGUCUUGGAAGUGGUGGCACCUCUUAUUCUCAGAAAUAUUUUGAUAUCUUGAGGUCUGAUGUGGCAGUAAGGGAGACUCUCCUCACAGGAAUCAAGAAUAAACAGAAUAAACUGUCAUCCAUGGAAGCUGAAUGGCAGGACAGCUUGAGUCAGGACCCAGAAAAAAGAAAACAAUGAUCCAUGUAUUUCAAAUGUGAAGUGCAGAAGAGAAAUCCACUUGAGGACUCACAGAGAAGCAAAAGACAAAGAAGAUUCAGUCCAUGGUGUGGGCAGUGCACCAUGGGGCAUCCCAGAGGGAGAGUCAGGGUCAGAAGCAGGACAGAUUAUCCAAAUUUCAGUCAUACGUGGACCAACUCAUACAAAUGUGAGUUUGCCCACAUCCAGAUUGGAUUAUUCCACACUCAUUAAUAUUCUAGGUAUUUCCAAGCAAGCAUCACAGCCUAUAACAUCUCAUGCUUAUUCAAAAAUAGCUUUCAAAUAAAGAGAAAAUAAUUAUUUUAUUCCAGAUCUAGUCCAUCAAUCUCAAAGGUUUUUACUCCAGCACCACUGAGAUCUGAAUUUGCACCAGAAUGUCAAGCACAGGCCAUUAACAGGAGAGAUUUCUCAAUGCUAAAGGGAGAGAGAGAGUAACUGUGAAUUGUAAAGUCAUAUCCUUACUGGUGGCUAUAAAUUUGGGUAAACUUCCUCCCCCAGUGAACUGGAUUCUCACAUGCUGUCUCAUCAGGCCAUUUCCCUCUCACUUGUGAAAUAUAUUACAGUAGCCAAAUUACCAAAUGACCUCAAUAAAUUCAGUCAUUCUGCUCUAAGAGAAGAUACCAUG